UCUAAGUUUAUCAAGUUUAAAUAAUAUUAAAAAUACUGAAACCCAUGUUGAUAUUUUAGCAAAAAAAUUUAAAGAAGUUUUUUCAGGUGGUUUAGGAUUUUUUAAAAAAGGUUUAGUAAAAAUUCAUUUAAAAAAGGAUAUUGCACCAAAAUUUUUUGAAGCACGACCCAUACCCUUUGCUAUUAAAAAACUGGUUGAGGAUGAACUACAGCGUCUUUUGUCUUUAGGUAUGAUAUCACCCGUUGAUUACAGUCGCUGGGCGACUCCGAUUGUGCCGGUAUUUAAGAAAAAUGGGCAACUGCGUAUCUGCGGGGACUUCAAAGUAACCAUAAACCCGGGAAUAGAAAUCGAUAAGCAUUACAUGCCAAGAAUAGAAGAACUGUUCGCUAAGCUACAAGGAGGCAGGGAGUUUACAAAGCUGGAUUUGUCGCAAGCAUUUUAGCAAAUGAUCAGGAUUAGAUGAAGCAAGUACAAGAAGAAAUCUAGACAAAAACAAAACCAGGUCCAAAUGAUUUGGAGACCACAAGGCUACAGCUAAGCUUUAGACACGAGCUAAGCAAGGAAUUUGAUGACAAGAAGACCAUAAAAUCUAAACUGUGGCAUAAAAUUGCAAAUUUAUCAAGGAAUUUUUAUCUGGGUCCCACAGGUGCAGAAAGACGCAGACAAAAAUUUUCCAAUUUUUGUAAAGGCUAUUUGGCUUUUUUAAAAAAUCAAAAAACUACUGGAAAAGAGGCCAUGGAUCUGCCCCCAUUCUAUGAUGAAACUCAUUUGAUAUUAGCUGUGCCCCAACAUUUAGAAGAUACUAUUUCUUAAAUGCAGCAACAAUUUUCAGACAAUGAAAAUGAAACAGAGGUAGAUGAAGCAGAGCCUUGUGCAGGCCUCUUUACGGACACUGUGAGCCGAUUUUGUAAAAGUAAAAAAAAACAGUAAAGCCUCUGUCAAAAACAGAAUCCGUUUUAGUUAAAAUGAGGGAGGACAGGAAGCAGAGAGAAAAUUAAUUUAACUUUAUAAAGGAGCAUAUUGUUAAAGCCUCUGACCAGAGAGACAAGUUUCUCAAUAUUUUAGGGAAACUUGUCUCGAAAAGAAAAAGGGAAGAUUCUGACUCUGUUUAAGAUUUUAUGCCAUAUAAAAAUCAGAAACUUUUUAUAAAAUUCUGCCUCUAAAGGUUCAGUUUAAUUAAAGGAGUCCUAACUGUUUAAGUUUUACGAGUUUAUAUACUACCUACCAUAUAAAACAUUUAAAAUGUUUAAAUAAGAUAGAUGCAGGGUGCAUCAACAAUAAGUUAUCGAAAGUUAUGUAUUUUUUUUUAAAUUAGAGACAUUUACAUUAGACAGAAUGUUAUUAGGGGUGGACUGUUUUUCCUCGGACACCGUGUAUUUACUUAUAUUAUACCUAAAAACGAAAGAGUUCCUACUUAUGCUGCCGAAGAUGCCUAGUUACUUGUUAUCAGAAAAAAAAAUUGUUUGUUAAAGAAGUUUAUUUUUAGUUUAUUAGAAUUAAGCAGUCUAUAUUCCAUAUUGCCUUAUUUAAAUAAGAUUUUGU